rnacentral:rRNA from 1 species
UGGGGAAUAUUGCACAAUGGGCGCAAGCCUGAUGCAGCCAUGCCGCGUGUAUGAAGAAGGCCUUCGGGUUGUAAAGUACUUUCAGCGAGGAGGAAGGCGUUAAGGUUAAUAACCUUGGCGAUUGACGUUACUCGCAGAAGAAGCACCGGCUAACUCCGUGCCAGCAGCCGCGGUAAUACGGAGGGUGCAAGCGUUAAUCGGAAUUACUGGGCGUAAAGCGCACGCAGGCGGUCUGUUAAGUCAGAUGUGAAAUCCCCGGGCUCAACCUGGGAACUGCAUUUGAAACUGGCAGGCUUGAGUCUUGUAGAGGGGGUUAGAAUUCCAGGUGUAGCGGUGAAAUGCGUAGAGAUCUGGAGGAAUACCGGUGGCGAAGGCGGCCCCCUGGACAAAGACUGACGC